rnacentral:rRNA from 1 species
GGAUCUCUUGGCUCUCGCAUCGAUGAAGAACGUAGCGAAGUGUGAUAAGUAAUGUGAAUUGCAGAAUUCCGUGAAUCAUCGAAUCUUUGAACGCAAAUUGCACUCUCUUUGGAGAGUAUGCCUGUUUGAGGGUCAGUAUUAAUAAAAAUCGGCGUGUU